rnacentral:rRNA from 1 species
UUGGAUACUGGAAUAAAUGAUUUUACAAUUAAAUUUUUUCUUUUUUGUUUAAAAUAAUUUAAAGUUUAAGUUAAAAUUCUUAAAUUUAUAAAAAAGACGAUAAGACCCUAAAAGCUUUAUUUUUAUAAAAUUUUUUACUGGGGUAGUAUUUAUUUAAUGAUAAUAAAAUAAAAAACUUUUGAUUUUUUUUCUCUUUAUUAGAGAUUAAAUUAGUUACUUUAGGGAUAACAGCGUAAUAUUGUUGGAGAGAGCGUAUCUAUAACAGUGUUUACGACCUCGAUGUUGAAUUAAUAGACCUUUUUAAAGCAGAUUUUAAACAAGGGGGUUUGUUC